GAUCCUGGCUCAGGAUGAACGCUGGCGGCGUGCCUAACACAUGCAAGUCGAGCGAUUCUCUUCGGAGAAGAGCAGCGGACGGGUGAGUAACGCGUGGGUAACCUGCCUUGUACACACGGAUAACAUACCGAAAGGUAUGCUAAUACGAGAUAAUAUGCUUUUAUCGCAUGGUAGAAGUAUCAAAGCUUUUGCGGUACAGGAUGGACCCGCGUCUGAUUAGCUAGUUGGUAAGGUAAUGG
rnacentral:rRNA from 1 species